UAAGGUGCAUUGGUAGGAGAGCGUUCUAAGGGCGUUGAAGGUAGAUCGUGAGGACUACUGGAGCGCUUAGAAGUGAGAAUGCCGGUAUGAGUAGCGAAAGACAGGUGAGAAUCCUGUCCACCGUAUGACUAAGGUUUCCUGGGGAAGGCUCGUCCGCCCAGGGUUAGUCGGGACCUAAGCCGAGGCCGACAGGCGUAGGCGAUGGACAACAGGUUGAUAUUCCUGUACCCGUUGUUUUUGUUUGAGCAAUGGAGGGACGCAGGAGGCUAAGAAGUGCAGACUGAUGGAUAUGUCUGUUCAAGCAGUGAGUCUUAGUGGGAGUCAAAUGCUUCUACUUU
rnacentral:rRNA from 1 species